AAAAUAUAAAACUAUAAAGAUCUAUAGGGUCUUCUCGUCCCACAAAUAAAUUUAAGCUUUUUAACUCAAAAAUUAAAUUCUCCUCAUUAAAUCAAAGAAAGUUAAUACCUCGUCCAACCCUUCAUUCCAGCCCUCAAUUAAAAGACAAAUGAUUAUGCUACCUUAGCACAGUUAAAAUACUGCGGCCAUUCAAUUCCUCAUUGGGCAGGUCAGACCUUAAAUAAAUAAACAAAAGGACAUGUUUUUGGGCACUCAUGGUAGAAGGGGGAUAUUUCUUUGUUAAAAAUACGUUGAAUUAACCUGCCUGCUAGGAAAAAAAUUUUUAGAAAGCU
rnacentral:sRNA from 1 species